CCUACGGGUGGCAGCAGUGAGGAAUAUUGGUCAAUGGGCGUAAGCCUGAACCAGCCAAGUCGCGUGAGGGAUGAAGGUUCUAUGGAUCGUAAACCUCUUUUAUAAGGGAAUAAAGUGUGGGACGUGUCCUAUUUUGUAUGUACCUUAUGAAUAAGGAUCGGCUAACUCCGUGCCAGCAGCCGCGGUAAUACGGAGGAUCCGAGCGUUAUCCGGAUUUAUUGGGUUUAAAGGGUGCGUAGGCGGCCUUUUAAGUCAGCGGUGAAAGUCUGUGGCCCAACCAUGGAAUUGCCGUUGAAGAUGGGGGGGUUGAGUAUGUUUGAGGGAGGCGGAAUGCGGGGUGUAGGGGUGAAAUGCUUAGAUAUUGCGCAGAACCCCGAUUGGGAAGGCAGGCUGGC
rnacentral:rRNA from 1 species